CCAUUAUCCCAUGUCUGGAAUUAUUAGUCAUAAGCUCUGGUGGCUAGCUGUGUCCGCAGACAGAGUUAGUUAGUCAUGGAUGUUAAUUGUAGGGUGCGCUCAUAUUUGAAAGGUGCUGGAGAGCUUCAAGGACUAUGCAUACGGUCGGAUGGACUGGUGGUUCGGAAUCAGAGCGGAACCGAGACUUCAUCUCGGGUGUGCGCAACAUGCGAGUUGUCGC
rnacentral:lncRNA from 1 species